rnacentral:tRNA from 1 species
AGGGAUUUAGCUGAGUGGCUCAAGCGCUUGCCUGGUAAGCAUGAGGUUGUGGGUUUGAUCUCCAGUCCCAA